CCUGGGUCCAGAUCUCGGACCUGCCAACCGUCUGGAAUGUGUCUAGAGCUGUGCCCUGUGACAACUGUUUCUGUCAGCUGGGAAACACCUGACCAAUCAGAGCUACUGUACAUUCAUAAACAACAGUGACACAAAAAUGGCGACAACUGAGGCCCGCGGUGUGUUGUUGCCUUCCUCUGACUCAACGCUGGGCCGGACUUCAUCCAGACCUCUGCUGCUUCACAUGGAGCCCACAUGCGUGAGCUCCCGGUCCUUGGCUCGAAUCUCGUCCCUCUGCUUGUCCACCACUUCUUUAAGCUUCUUCAUCACCUGCCUCUCUCUCUCCGUCAUACCUGGACACCACAGACAGAGGAGAGGACAGUGAGGGAGUGUGUACACACAAAAUUAUUUUUUAUCAGUAAAUCAGAAAUUGAUUUUAUUCUUUUUAAUUUGUCUUAAUUGUUAGAGGAACUGAAAGGAGAUGAAUAGAGGAAACCCUGGUGUGUGGAUGUGUGUGUUUGUGUGUGUGUGUGUGUGUGUCUUUGUGUGUGUGCGAGAGAGAGUGAGAGAGUCUAGCAGGUGUGCUUAUACACUGAGGCUGUUCUUUCCUCAGCGUGUCAGGGUGACUGGGGGACUGUGGCCUCUGUGUGAAACCGCGAAAGAGACUGGCUCACAGUCAG